rnacentral:rRNA from 1 species
GACGAACGCUGGCGGCGUGCUUAACACAUGCAAGUCGAACGGAAAGGCCCUGCUUUUGUGGGGUGCUCGAGUGGCGAACGGGUGAGUAACACGUGAGUAACCUGCCCUUGACUUUGGGAUAACUUCAGGAAACUGGGGCUAAUACCGGAUAGGAGCUCCUGCUGCAUGGUGGGGGUUGGAAAGUUUCGGCGGUUGGGGAUGGACUCGCGGCUUAUCAGCUUGUUGGUGGGGUAGUGGCUUACCAAGGCUUUGACGGGUAGCCGGCCUGAGAGGGUGACCGGCCACAUUGGGACUGAGAUACGGCCCAGACUCCUACGGGAGGCAGCAGUGGGGAAUAUUGCACAAUGGUCGGAAGCCUGAUGCAGCAACGCCGCGUGCGGGAUGACGGCCUUCGGGUUGUAAACCGCUUUCGCCUGUGACGAAGCGUGAGUGACGGUAAUGGGUAAAGAAGCACCGGCUAACUACGUG